rnacentral:rRNA from 1 species
AUGGCUUUCCACCAAAGAUCGAUAAGUUUGCCUUCUAGGCCUCAUGUUAGUGAGACCCAAGUCGAGCAAGAGCUCCACAGCCUAGAAGCAAGCAUCUCUUCCUCCAAUUCCAUCAGCACCAUGUGCGAUGGUCUCAGGAGUCUUGCAAGCAUCUACGAUGGUCUUGAAGACAUUAUUUGCCUACCAAGCCACCAAGUUUUCUCCUCCCAGCAGAGGAACAUGUUGGAUGGAGAAAUGGAAGGUUCUCUCGAGCUGCUAGAUCUCUGCAGCGCCAUGCAAGAGAUCUUUGUUGAGAUGAAGGCCAUCAUCCAAGAGCUGCAAGUGGCUCUAAGGAAAGGGGAUGAUGCAGCUGCUCAAGCUAAGAUCCAAUCUUACACCCGCUUGGCGAAGAAGGCCAAGAAUCAUUUCAAGAAAAACACGAAGAAGACUCCUACAGAUUGCAGGAUGGUCAUGCUCUUGGCCAAGGCCAGAGAGAUCUCCGCCUCUCUGCUGGAGUCCACAAUCCAUCUCUUGUCAAAGCAAAUUGAGAUGCCUAAACAGUCUCUUGUUUUCAAGCCAUUUCACAAAAAGAGGGCAGUUGUUUGCAAGGAGGAGCAAUUGUCGGGGUUAGAGUGCAGUAUCGGAGAUCUUGAGAGCGGAGCAGGACAUUUGUUCAGGAAAUUAGUCCGGAGCAGAGUUUCUCUACUCAACAUCCUUAGCUCAUAG